rnacentral:rRNA from 1 species
CAGUCGAGCGACAGAUAAGGAGCUUGCUCCUUUGAAGUUAGCGGCGGACGGGUGAGUAACACGUGGGUAACCUACCUAUAAGACUGGAAUAACUUCGGGAAACCGGAGCUAAUGCCGGAUAACAUUUGGAACCGCAUGGUUCUAAAGUAAAAGAUGGUUUUGCUAUCACUUAUAGAUGGACCCGCGCCGUAUUAGCUAGUUGGUAAGGUAACGGCUUACCAAGGCAACGAUACGUAGCCGACCUGAGAGGGUGAUCGGCCACACUGGAACUGAGACACGGUCCAGACUCCUACGGGAGGCAGCAGUAGGGAAUCUUCCGCAAUGGACGAAAGUCUGACGGAGCAACGCCGCGUGAGUGAUGAAGGUUUUCGGAUCGUAAAACUCUGUUAUUAGGGAAGAACAAAUGUGUAAGUAACUGUGCACAUCUUGACGGUACCUAAUCAGAAAGCCACGGCUAACUACGUGCCAGCAGCCGCGGUAAUACGUAGGUGGCAAGCGUUAUCCGGAAUUAUUGGGCGUAAAGCGCGCGUAGGCGGUUUCUUAAGUCUGAUGUGAAAGCCCACGGCUCAACCGUGGAGGGUCAUUGGAAACUGGGAAACUUGAGUACAGAAGAGGAAAGUGGAAUUCCAUGUGUAGCGGUGAAAUGCGCAGAGAUAUGGAGGAACACCAGUGGCGAAAGCGACUUUCUGGUCUGUAACUGACGCUGAUGUGCGAAAGCGUGGGGAUCAAACAGGAUUAGAUACCCUGGUAGUCCACGCCGUAACGAUGA